CCCUUAGACGUUCUGGGCCGCACGCGCGCUACACUGACGAAGGCAACGAGCUACUCUUCACCGAAAGGUGUGGGUAAUCUUUUGAAACUUCGUCGUGCUGGGGAUAGAUCCUUGCAAUUUUUGUUCUUAAACGAGGAAUUCCUAGUAAGCGCAAGUCAUCAACUUGCGUUGAUUACGUCCCUGCCCUUUGUACACACCGCCCGUCGCUACUACCGAUUGAAUGGUUUAGUGAGGCCUUCGGAUCCGCGAUUUUAUUGUGGAGAAGUUGGACAAACUCAGUCAUUUAGAGGAAGUAAAAGUCGUAACA
rnacentral:rRNA from 1 species